GAGCUUGCUCCCUGAUGUUAGCGGCGGACGGGUGAGUAACACGUGGGUAACCUGCCUGUAAGACUGGGAUAACUCCGGGAAACCGGGGCUAAUACCGGAUGGUUGUUUGAACCGCAUGGUUCAAACAUAAAAGGUGGCUUCGGCUACCACUUACAGAUGGACCCGCGGCGCAUUAGCUAGUUGGUGAGGUAACGGCUCACCAAGGCAACGAUGCGUAGCCGACCUGAGAGGGUGAUCGGCCACACUGGGACUGAGACACGGCCCAGACUCCUACGGGAGGCAGCAGUAGGGAAUCUUCCGCAAUGGACGAAAGUCUGACGGAGCAACGCCGCGUGAGUGAUGAAGGUUUUCGGAUCGUAAAGCUCUGUUGUUAGGGAAGAACAAGUACCGUUCGAAUAGGGCGGUACCUUGACGGUACCUAACCAGAAAGCCACGGCUAACUACGUGCCAGCAGCCGCGGUAAUACGUAGGUGGCAAGCGUUGUCCGGAAUUAUUGGGCGUAAAGGGCUCGCAGGCGGUUUCUUAAGUCUGAUGUGAAAGCCCCCGGCUCAACCGGGGAGGGUCAUUGGAAACUGGGGAACUUGAGUGCAGAAGAGGAGAGUGGAAUUCCACGUGUAGCGG
rnacentral:rRNA from 1 species